ensembl:lncRNA
AAAUGUUGCUUAUGAAGAGUUGCGACAAAAUGUUAAUCCAGACAGUAAUACUCGCCGUAGAGUAGACACUUGUGGAGCAGUCACAAAAAUGAUAGUUGAGUCUGCGUGGAGUCGUCUAGGUGAGGGAGUUGAGGGUCAAGAUCCUAUUAGACCAGAAGCAUGCUGUAUUGAUACAGGUUCGGUGUUCUCAUCCAUAGCCUCAAAAUCAAGUUAUGGACAUUCCAGGUCUUCUCAGUGUAUGGACAAUUCAAGUUUGAGCUCCAGAGGUUCAAGUUUUUCCUCCGCUAAGAAACAAGAGGCUGCUGCAGAAAUUGCUGCAACUGAAGCAACAUUAGAAAUAUUACAGCAACAAGAGCAUGAACUGGAAGCACUACAAAGACUUGAGGCUGAAGACAAAAGGAGAAUAGCAGAACAAGAAGCUGAAGAAUUGAAGCGACGACUAGAAAGAGAAGAAGAAGAAGCUAGGCUACGUGUUAAGAUUGAAGCUGAAAAUGCUGCUAGACGGAUGGCAUUAGAAGACAAGCGCAGAGAGCUUGAGCGUUUGGAGACACUAAAAAGGUUGAAUGCUGCAAAGGCACGAAUGCAAGUCUACGAGCAGAAUGAAGACUCAAAGGAAGAAACAAGAGAGCUACUUCGUGACUGUGCAUCUGUAAGAAAGAAGCAGGUACCAAAGUUAAGCAGCUCCGUGUUACAGAGCAUACCUCUACAGGAAAGUGCAACAAAAUCAUAUCAAGAAGCCAGCACUGCAGACCUUGUUAAGGUGUUAGCAGAAUCUAUCAGCUCAAGUCGUCUUCCUAUACCUGAACCUGCAACAUUCUAUGGAGACUCUCUCAGAUUUAGUGAUUGGAAAAUCUCAUUUCAAACUCUGAUCGACAGAAAAAACAUACCAGUGAAUGAGAAGCUUUACUACUUACGCAAGUAUGUGGAAGGACCAGCUAAGAAGGCCAUUGAAAGUUACUUCCUGCUAGGCACAGAGUCAGCAUAUCAAGCAGCAUGGGGCAUACUAGAAGAAAGGUAUGGAAACCCAUUCGUCAUUGCUAAAGCCUUUCGAGACAAGCUUAAUUCAUGGCCAAAGAUUGGUUCCAAGGACAGUGUUGAGCUGAGAGAAUUUACUGACUUCCUCAGAGGCUGUGAAGCAGCUAUGUCUCAGAUUAAGGGUCUUGAAGUCCUCAAUGAUUGUAAUGAGAACCAGAAAAUCCUUUCCAAGCUUCCUGAUUGGCUAGCCUCAGCAUGGAAUCGUCAGGUCAUAGAAAUUGAAGAAGAAACUAAGACAUUUCCUACCUUCAGUCGGUUUGUAAAGUUUCUAACACGAGAAGCUAAGAUAGCUUGUAACCCAGUGACAUCACUUCAUGCACUGAAGUCUAAUGAGAUCGGAAAAGGAAAGGUAUCAAGAAAUCAGGACACUAGAGCAAAAGUGUUAACGGUACAAUCCAGAGAAAAAGCAGAUGCUGUAAAAUGUACCUUCUGUGAGAGACCAGGACAUGGUAUUCACAAAUGUCGUAAGUUUAUGGAGAAGAAUGUUGCAGAGCGAGUCAAGUUUGUCCAAAUUAAUAAGUUAUGCUUUGGAUGUUUGAAUCCUGGUCAUCAUUCAAAGAACUGUGAAGACAGGAGUGUCUGUGAGAAGUGUCAGAAGAAGCACCCAUCAUGUUUACAUGAGGAUCGUAUCAAGGAAGCAAAGAGGACUCCACAGUCAGGUCAGUCAAAGGAGAAGUUGAAGGAAAGAAACCCAGAGUUGGUACAGAAUAAAGAUAGCGCAAGUGAAGCAACAUCUAACCGAGUAAUACAGGAUGUAAAUAAUACUCACACCUCUACAAUAGUUCCAGUAUGGGUAUCAGCUACCAGUGAACCAACUCAUGAAGUUCUGGUAUAUGCACUUCUUGACACCCAGAGUGAUACAACCUUCAUCCUGGAAGAGAUAGCUCAAGCUCUUGACACAAAGAAGGAAUCUGUGCAGCUGAAGCUCUCAACUAUGGUAUCCAAGAGUACAGUUGUUCCAUGCCAAAAGAUAAUUGGUUUAAAGGUGAGAGGAUUUUAUUCAGAUAAGAAGAUCUCUUUGCCAGUAACCUAUUCUAGAGAGUUCAUUCCUGCAAACAGAACUCACAUUCCUACACCCAAAACUGCAAGAGUGUGGCCUCAUCUAAUGCAUAUAGCUGAGAAGAUUGCUCCUAAACAAGUUUGUGAUAUUGGCCUUCUGAUUGGCUACAAUUGCCCUCAAGCUCUUCUUCCUAGAGAAAUUGUGUCUGGUAAAGAAAAUCAGCCAUUUGCUCAAAGAACGGAUCUGGGCUGGAGCAUUGUUGGCUGUGGCAAUUCCUCUGUAGACUACGGGGAUGCCAUUGGAGUGAGUCAUCGCAUUAUAGUGAAACAAGUGCUGCCAAGUCUACAGUCUUCUCUCAAUCUUACAAGUGAAGUUCAGUACAUAUGCAGAACGCAGAUCAAGGAAGUAAUCACUCCACCAAAUGUCAUCAAAGCUCUUGAGUCUGACUUUAAUGAGAAAGCAGCAGAGGAAAGUUGUAUUUCUCAAGAAGAUCUACGUUUUCUGUCAAAAAUGGAAAC